UCUCAUUUUUCGUUGUUUUCUUCUCUCUCCUCUCGCGAGACCUCUGCUCUUCUAGGGUUUGCCGACCGUCUUCCUCUUCACUCGGCUGCCUCUGCAACCAGCGUGACCCGUUUUACAGCGCGAGGAAGACGCUGUUACCGACGCGAGGGUGACGGCCUCUGCUACCACUGGGCACCGGUCGGCAAGCAGCAGGUGUUGCGAAACAGUCUCUGCAAGGGUUUGGGGUGUUUCUGGAGGUGCGACCGGCCAGCUCCAGCGCCUCUCAGCAAAGAGGGGCUAUCUGUUGUUGCAGCGUGGAAGAUGUCCGGCUAAGCACCAGACAUUCUCGAACCCUCUGCACUCGGUCUGGGUCGAUUCAAAAGAAAUUGCCGAGAGCAGUGGCGAACACGGUCGUCCUGCGACCCACUCUGUGGCAUAGGUCUACAAAACAUACGCUCUGCCAACAGUGACAGAGGUCAAGACGGAAGAUGUGUUGGAUCCGCCGGAAAGGGUUCGAGCAGGGUCUCCGGUUAAGCAAAAAGGAAAAAAAAACCGGCAGAGACGGUGUAGGCAUCACAGGCACUACAGGGGUCGGAAUUCACUUACUGGAAAUUCGACAAAGAAGGCUCUGAUACGAGUGAUGCAUUUUCAGCAGCGGAAUGGCGACCCUGUUCAACUCUGUAUCUGGGCAGCAACACACGGUCUGUAGCAGCAAGGGAGAGGCAGCUCGCAGAUCUUGAAUAACAGAAAAGAAGAAGAGACGAGGGAGAAGAAGAUAAAGCAGCAUUCAACGGGUUUGCUUCUAUGAGGGCUUGACGAGUUUUAAUCGUUUUUUUAACCCCAGAUUCAGCAGCACUGGGAUUUUUUUUACCAGCCUUAUAGAUUUUCCGAUUUCCCAGCUAACGGUUAUCGUCUGUGAGAGAUUGACGGAAUAUUAAAGUUACGAGGUGAAGGAUCGUUGCGAGCUCCAUCAACCAAAUAAUUGGUGGAAGAUCUAGAACGAUAACAUGCACCACAGGCAUAAAUCUAAACUGCAACUACAACAUUCCCAUGAUAGCACAGAAAUGACACCAUGUGUAACAGCAGUUGGAAACAGCCCAAAUUUUGUUUAUGUUGUUGUAGUGUGGAGCAUCAUCAAUCCCACCAUCUUCUAUACA